rnacentral:lncRNA from 1 species
AUGUCUCUGAAGCCAGUGGGUGUUCACAAGAGGAUUAUGGGAAGAGGGACAGAAGUGCCUGGAUGUACUGUUCAGAACUGGCAGGACCGGCCUCUAAAAGGAAGACUUAAAAUGAUGUUUUUGACAUCAACACUUUCCCCAAAGUUGAUAUGGAACAUUUUCUCUCCUCGAAGAACAUCUCGGUGGCAUUUUCAGAGAUGAAAUGAAGUCUUCCCUCUGAUUGGAAAAUCAGUGUUGGUUCAUACAGACAGGCACAUCCCUACAAAUGUCUUUUGUCUGCCGAUGACGCACCACUUACGUCAGUUGCCUGCCAGAUACGUGGAAAAUGACGGUUCUGUACUACAGGUUUUCAUUCCUAUUAAAUGCUAUGGCAUGUGAUCUUGAACAAACGUUUGUAGUCAAUGUUUGAUCAAAAGCCCGAUUCGAUCAAGUAAAUAAAGCAUUAGAAAAAAUAAUUUCCUUCCUUUUG